AACGAACGCUGGCGGCAUGCCUAACACAUGCAAGUCGAACGAGACCUUCGGGUCUAGUGGCGCACGGGGGCGUAACGCGUGGGAACCUGCCCUUAGGUUCGGAAUAACUCCCCGAAAGGGGUGCUAAUACCGGAUAAUGUCUUCGGACCAAAGAUUUAUCGCCCUUGGAUGGGCCCGCGUUGGAUUAGCUAGUUGGUAGGGUAAAAGCCUACCAAGGCGACGAUCCGUAGCUGGUCGCAGAGGAUGAUCAGCCACACUGGGACAGAGACACGGCCCAGACUCCUGCGGGAGGCCGCAGGGGGGAAUCGUGGACGAUGGGGGAAAGCCUGAUGGAGCCAUACCGCGUGAGGGAAGAAGGCCUUCGGGUUGUAAAGCGAGUUUGUUGGUGAAGAAAAAAAGCAGAGUAACACCCCGAUGGUCUGACGGUACCCAAAGAAUAAGCACCGGCUAACUUCGUG
rnacentral:rRNA from 1 species